UGCUGCUUUCCUUAUGUCUUAUCUCUAUUUCUGAGGAAUCUCUUGUACACAAAUAGAUGUGUCCAGAUAUGAUCAUUCGGGUCCACACCCAGAUGAAAAUGUCUAGUUUCUCUCGGAUUACCAAAACAUUCCAAUUGCUCAAUCAGAUUCGACUGACAGACAUGACCAACGGCUUUAUCGCUUGUGUGUGAGUAGAUUUUAUUUCCCUUUAUUUUUUUUCACACUUGAGCCCACAUCAAAAGACUGAAAGCUGUUCAAAGAAGGUGGAGAAAAUGGCUUCCGGUCUUCAUGUGAGCUAAUCCAAGCCAGGUGGAAGACAGAGGAAGGAAUGAAGACUGAUGAGAGACUUGAUUUACAGAUGGAGAUCCGGUUCCUGCCAAAUCAAGGUCCUGCUCCACUUCUGCUCUGUUUUACAUGCUGAAAUUUCUGUUCCAGCCAGCUGGGAUUUGGCAGUAAGCUGAUACAUCUAAAAAACGUUCUAGGAUAAUCAGCUGAAGACACAAGAAAAGAGGAAACUUCAGGCCACAACUGCUUUAAAGAAGACCUAUCAUUUCUGCCGCAAUCUGAGCUCUGUAAUAAAAAUGCUUCUAUCGGACAAAUUACCCAGCUAUGGUCUUGCACCUGAUAUAAAUCAGAUGGGGAAAAAAUUCCACCUACUGCUCUAAUAAGCAUUUUGCUUGGCAUUCAUGCAAAGAUCAAACAUUUACCCUGCACUCUUGUGUAGAUAGUGUUUGUGUGCCAACAUUACAGCCUGGUAAUGAAAGAAGUAAAGUAAGCUCCCUGCUGGUUAUGAUGCAUGUUUUGCUAACUUUAUUCUUUUUUAUGCUUUGAUAUACAGGACAUUAGCAUUCAAGAUGAAUCCCCCUGAAAGCUACAAACAGAAAAAAUUGUUGGCACCCCUGGUACAGAUGUGCAAAAGAGCAUUAAAAUAAAUUCAUAGUAGCAUAAUCUCACGUUGAAGAAUUAUGAAAGAAACCAGCUUUUGAUUUGAGUAUAUACUCCAGAUAAAACCCCUUGUUGUCUUUUACAGAAUUACCUGUGGCACAAUUGUUGGUACCUCUAAGAAUCUGUAUAAGUGUAGCUGAGUUUUUUUUUUUUUUUUUUCAUUUAUAUUUACUUAGAUAAAAUGAUAAGAGUUUGUUGGAUUUCUUAAAAAGUACUUCUUGAUUUGUUGUUUCCCUAAGGUAUAAAUAUGAUGCGACAUGAAGGCCUAUGUCUUUUGGCCACCAGCAAUUAGGCUUGACAAGUACCUGUAUUUACGAACACAAGUCAAGUUAAGACUCAUGGAUUUGUCCUGAUGAUGACACUAGAGCCCAAGUGAUACAUGGCGUGAAAGUUCUGAAGAAGUUCCACAUCUGCUUUGAGUUACAUAUGAUGAGGCCUAAUCACCUUCAAAUCAAACCUAAAAUCCCUUGUAAGUAUGUCUGAGAACCUUUUAGCUCAUUCAUAGUUUUUCAUCAAUAGUUAUGGAGCUAACAAAAUAGCUCCAUGUGCUAGCAUAUGCAAUCAGAAGCCAUUUGUUCACUCAACCAAUGUUUAAAAGAUAAAAUAGCUGGCUUGUUGAUUAUUUUCUCGUUUAAUGUAUAAGUGUUAAUGUUCCUACACGUUUAUCCAUACCUGCUUUAGGAGAGACUGUUUGUUCACAUGUAAGAAUGCUGGUCUGAAAGUCUUGUACAUAAAUUAUUAAGAGUUCAGGACAGGUGAAAACUAAGUCCUGUCCAAUUUGUGCAAAUGACUGUCUGCAGGGGUGCCAACAAUUGUAUCAAAAGUAUCUUUGUUAAAACGCAGAGAUUUCUUAACAUUACACAUUACAUUUACACAUCUUUGCAGUGACCAGACAUGGCAACAACAGAAGAGGAUCCCUUCAGCCUUAUUUUGUGUGUUCUCAUGUCGGGAUAACAGUAUGUAUGUCAACAAUAGCUCAAGAUGAGAGAGGUGUAAAAGUGAAACAGAGGCCCAACAAUACAAGGUUUUGCUUUGACUAUGACAUGCUUAUCAAAUAAAGCAUCAAUAUCACACUC